UACGUAGGGUGCAAGCGUUAAUCGGAAUUACUGGGCGUAAAGCGUGCGCAGGCGGUUGUGCAAGACAGAUGUGAAAUCCCCGGGCUUAACCUGGGAAUGGCAUUUGUGACUGCACGGCUAGAGUGUGUCAGAGGGGGGUAGAAUUCCACGUGUAGCAGUGAAAUGCGUAGAUAUGUGGAGGAAUACCGAUGGCGAAGGCAGCCCCCUGGGAUAACACUGACGCUUAUGCACGAAAGCGUGGGGAGCAAACAGG
rnacentral:rRNA from 1 species